GAAAAAAAAAAAGAUACAAAAGGAAAAAACAAAUUCUAAGAUUUUAGGGGUAUGAUAAACGCACUAGAGGGUUUUUUUAGCAUUGGAAGCAGUGCUUAAGGAAGGUGGGAGAAAGGUCCAAGCUUUAAAGAAGAGAUGGCGCACAUCACAAACCUUCCGAUGAUGCCACUCAUUCCUACCACUUCUUCAAAUGAAAUCAAAGAAAUCGCAUUUAAGACUGCACCUUCGGCUUCCAAGCUCCAAAUCAAGUGCUUCCUAGAAUCCUUCUAUGGCUUGGAGGUCCAAAAGGUGCGAACUCUUAUCAUGAAGGGCAAGAAGAAGCGUUACGCGGGUUCCUUGGUCGCAAAACCUGAUUACAAGAAGGCCUAUGUCACCCUCAAGAACCCGCUUUCUUCCUCCCACAACCCUUUCCCCUUUGCUUUCACCCUCCAAGACAACAAGAAUGAGAAGACGUUGACCACUCACAGCUAGAAGAUCAUUCACCUCAGCGUCUUCCAACACCAUACUCACUCUCUUUUCAAGUUCUGUUGUGAGAGCUGGUGAGACAGAAUACAUCAUGGCCAUCUUUAGCAACUGCAACAUGAACUUACAUGAGACUGCAUCUGGCUGAGGAGGAAUAAUGCUUAUCAGGGUUUCAAUAAUUGUCUUUUGCUCCUUGCUGUGCCCACUGCUCUCUUUCUUCUUCCCACUAAAAAUACUGAACUAAAUGAUCCUCAUAAAAUGAUCAAUGCGGAAGGUGGCCACAUCAUUGAACCACCAGCUUUCUUGAUUUGGCGCUGCAUCCUCACUUGUGUGAUCAUCUUUAGAAGCCUUCCACGCAAUGGAGUCGCA